UACAGAGGGGGCCAGCGUUAUUCGGAAUUAUUGGGCGUAAAGCGCGCGUAGGCGGUUACUUAAGUCGGAUGUGAAAGCCCUCGGCUUAACUGAGGAAGUGCACCCGAAACUGAGUAGCUAGAGUACGAAAGAGGGUCGCGGAAUUCCCGGUGUAGAGGUGAAAUUCGUAGAUAUCGGGAGGAACACCGGUGGCGAAGGCGGCGACCUGGGUCGAGACUGACGCUGAGGCGCGAAAGCGUGGGGAGCAAACAGG
rnacentral:rRNA from 1 species